rnacentral:rRNA from 1 species
UGAAUACGAGACGCUAAGGCGUCGAAGUAGUGUAUGUCAUACUUCCAAGAAAAGCUUGCACUGUCAUAAGUAAAAAAUGCCUGUACCAUAACCGACACAGGUGGGUAGGUAGAGUAUACUAAGGGGCGCGAGAUAACUCUCUCUAAGGAACUCGGCAAAAUAACUCCGUAACUUCGGGAGAAGGAGUACCUUAUUCUAUAAGGUUGCAAUAACAAGAUCCAAGCAACUGUUUAUCAAAAACACAGGUCUCCGCUAAGUCGUAAGACGAUGUAUGGGGGCUGACGCCUGCCCAGUGCCAGAAGGUUAAAGAAGUCGGUUAGCAUUAGCGAAGCUGGUAACUGAAGCCCUGGUGAACGGCGGCCGUAACAAUAACGGUCCUAAGGUAGCGAAAUUCCUUGUCGGGUAAGUUCCGACCCGCACGAAAGGCGUAAUGAUUUGGACACUGUCUCGGAGAGGGGCUCGGUGAAAUAGACUUGUCUGUGAAGAUGCGGACUACCUGCACCAGGACAGAAAGACCCUAUGAAGCUUUACUGUAACUUGAAAUUGAAAUUGGACUUUAUUCGCGCAGUAUAGGUGGGAGGUGUUGAUUAUAAUCUUGCGGGAUUAUUGGAGCCAUCAGUGAGAUACCACUCUUGUAAUGUUAGAUUUCUAACUUUGAAUCAUUAUCUGGUCAAAGGACAGUUUCAGGCGGGCAGUUUGACUGGGGCGGUCGCCUCCCAAACGGUAACGGAGGCGUACAAAGGUUUCCUCUGAACGGGUAGAAAUCGUAUCUAGAGUGUAAAGGCAUAAGGAAGCUUGACUGUGAGACCUACAAGUCGAACAGGGACGAAAGUCGGUCUUAGUGAUCUGACGGUACUGAGUGGAAAGGCCGUCACUCAACGGAUAAAAGUUACUCUAGGAUAACAGGCUGAUCUCCCCCAAGAGUUCACAUCGACGGGGAGGUUUGGCACCUCGAUGUCGGCUCAUCGCAUCCUGGGGCGGUAGUACGUCCCAAGGGUUGGGCUGUUCGCCCAUGAAAGCGGUACGCGAGCUGGGUUCAGAACGUCGUGAGACAGUUCGGUCCAUAUCCGGUGUAGGCGUUAGAAUAUUGAGAGGAGCCUUCUUUAGUACGAGAGGACCGAGAAGGACAUACCUCUGGUGUACCAGUUAUCGUGCCAACGGUAAACGCUGGGUAGCUAUGUAUGGAGUGGAUAACCGCUGAAAGCAUCUAAGUGGGAAGCCCACCUCAAGAUAAGUAUUCUCAUC